UACGGGGGGGGCAAGCGUUGUUCGGAAUUACUGGGCGUAAAGGGCUCGUAGGCGGCCAACUAAGUCGGACGUGAAAUCCCCAGGCUCAACCUGGGAACUGCGUCUGAUACUGGAUGGCUUGAAUCCGGGAGAGGGAUGCAGAAUUCCAGGUGUAGCGGUGAAAUGCGUAGAUAUCGUGGAGGAAUACCGGUGGCGAAGGCGGCAUCCUGGACCGGCAUUGACGCUGAGGAGCGAAAGCCAGGGGGAGCAAACGGG
rnacentral:rRNA from 1 species